GGCCCAAACUCAAAGUAGAGUAGUUCAGUAGGGUCAACUGAUCGUACUAAUCUACUUUACUUCAAGUUUGGACCC
rnacentral:pre_miRNA from 1 species